UACGAAGGGGGCUAGCGUUGCUCGGAAUCACUGGGCGUAAAGGGUGCGUAGGCGGGUCCGCAAGUGCCUUGUGAAAUCCCACGGCUCAACCGUGGAAUGGCUCGGCAGACUGCGGGUCUUGAGGUCGGUAGGGGUCGCUGGAACUCUAGGUGGAGCGGUGAAAUGCGUAGAUAUCUAGAGGAACGCCAAAGGUGAAGACAAGCGACUGGGCCGAUUCUGACGCUGAGGCACGAAAGCGUGGGGAGCGAACGGG
rnacentral:rRNA from 1 species